ensembl:lncRNA MAL2-AS1 MAL2 antisense RNA 1
AUAGUCCAUGCUCAAGAUCGAAUGGCAUCUCUCAGACUGGAAGACCUUUCUGAAGUCAGUUCCAGACAUCCCUGGAAGGCUGGAUAAUUUGGGAAAAGGCUGACUCAAUGUAAGAAAGACUUCCCUGGCCAGGUGCCAUCCCUCGGUGCUUCCACGGUUACUGACGCGUGUAUUCUCCACAGCAAUUACAACUGGAUCAAAAUCAUGGAUCUACAUGCCCAUUUCACCCACUAGACUGUGACGUCAGAGUCGGUGACAUUGCCUUCAACAUCUCCGUAUGCUCAUUACCCAGGGUGGUGCUUUCUACAGAAGGUCCUCAAUCCAUCCUCCUUGAAAUGAAUGGAAACCAACCGGCAUGUGUAAUGAAUGGUUCCAAAAGAGAAUGCUCUAGGAGUGCAGCUUGGGAUGCUAGGAACACACUCCGGUCUGGAGCCCAGCUCACUCCCUGGUUCAUGGUGGAUGUCCAAAAAUAGGCAUGAAAACGAGUGAAGCGAGAAUAUGUACUUCUCAAUUCUCAAGUUAUUAUUGGUGACACCCACCACCUAGUACCAGAUCUCAGGAGGCUGAGAU